GCUUUGAAUAGGGCAAAGUGGAGGGAAGGGAGGCCCUAAUUACAAGAUGGUGGCCCUGGGGGACAUGCCUGGAGAGAGGAAGGCCUUUGUAGCCACAUAGAUGGGAACUCCUCUGUUUCCUAGAGGUCCCAAGUUCCCUGGAGAGUAAAUGCCUCUCUUUGAGUGUGAGAGUUCCAUAGCUCUCCAUCAGGCGUGUGUUCCCCCCCGCUGGAUGAGAGCCAAGCACAAGGAGACACUUCCCUGGGUGUCGAUCUGUCGGAUACUCCUGUCCUGGGUUAUGUGACCUGUCACCUGUGCUGACAGAUGGGCUGCCUUUUCCCAUCCCCUCACAGCUGGGACCUGAAGGAGUUGGAAGACUAACUGGGGGUCUCUAGAGUUUGAGUUUUUGUUUUCAUUUUUUAAAGAUUGGCACCUGAGCUAACAUGUGUUACCAACCUUUUUUUUUUCCUUCUUCUUCUCCCAAAGCCCCCCCACUUCCAGUGCCUAGUUGUAUACACCAGUUGUUGGACCCACAACUAAAAAUACACAACUAUUUAUCAGGUGGCUUUGGGAAGGAAAAGGAAAAAUAAAAAGACGCAUAAAGAACCUCAUACAGACCAAAGAGAGUUUGAAAUUGCUAUUUUAAAAGGCAUAGCAGAAAAGAGAGUUUUGAUAGAAAAAUGGAUCAAAAUAAAUAAGCAGUGAAAUCUAAUUCUGACAUAGCUUCCAGCUGUCUGGCAUACUGGUUGAGUUUUGAAGACCUGGGCCACUGUUCCUCUUUGCUGGGGGUGACACACGGGCCAGAAGCAGGGAGACCUAAGGCUGAGGCCCAAAGGAAGGUGAAAGGUGGCCUCAGGUCUUGGAAGCUCUGCCGUCUUGGCAGAGCAGAUUGGGGCACAGCAGAGCCCAGGGCGGGGUGCCGGCCAGCUGUCCACCAGUCACAGUCUCAGGUGAAUGGAAUGAAGAGGGGGCCACUGGGAAACGCAGGAGCUGCUGCCACAACUGUGCGGGAUACCUGCGGCCUGCUCUGGGCCUCCUCUCCCUGGCCUUGUCCCCUUGCAACUCUGUUUUACAGUUGACAAAGCAGAGGUUCAGGAAGAGCCUGGUCCUCUCUUUCCAGAGCCUCAGGUCUUUCUGCUCCAGAACGAAGACAGUGACCUCACUACCCUGCUGGUAUUUGUGUACCAGGCACUGGGCGUGUUUCUUCUCAUUUAACCACAGAGCAGCCCUGGGAAAGGAAGCACUGUUAUCAUUCCCAUUUUUCAGGUGAGGAACAGGUUCAGAAAGGUCAAGAAACUUGCUUCAGGUCUCACAGCUGGCAAGUGGACUCUCUGGCUCCAGAGAAGUCUGCUUCUAACCCUGUGAGGCUUCCCCCCCCCCCCCCCCCCCCCGCCCCGCACUGGGGUGACUGACUGCCUCUAAAUGUUCUACCUGCCUUUGGCUUGAAACCGUGGAGCUCGAGGAGAGAAAGCAUUGGAAGAAGAAAAAAAAAAAAAGCCGUGCCCUCCUGGAGUGAACCUCCAAGGUCAUUCUCUUGACACCUGACUCAAGUGGAAGAGGAAGCCUGGAGGUGGGGAGUCCAGGGGUGAUGCAGUGAUUCAAGGAUGCCAUCAAAAACCCAGGCUUUACCUUUGCUCCACCACCCUUCUCACCUCGUCGUCACAAAAGGGCUACUGCUGUUCAAGGCAUCACCUCCACAUUCCAAGAAGAAGAAAGGCAAGGCAGAGGGGCAAUAAUAUCCUCUCCUUUUAUGGGGAGACGGCUUUCCCAGAAAACUCCCCCUCCACCCAGCAGACUUCUACUUAAACUUCACUGGCUAGAACUCCAUCACUUGGCCACUCUGGCAGUUAGGGAUGCCAGAAAGGUGAGGAUUCACCAAGUGGGAAAGAGGAAGCAGCCAAGGAGGAGUGGGUCAGUAAUAGCUGCAGAAUUAGCCCACAGUAUCUGCCAAAACUAUGUAAGUUAUUUUUUAAUGUAAUUGUCUUGGUGAGUUUUCUUAUUACAAAAGCAAUGAAUAUACAUUGUUACUUUAGAAAAUAAAGACUUAAAAAUCUCUACAGUCCCAUCACACAGAAGUAACCACUGUUUAUUCCUGGUUUAUGAUCCUUCCAGAUCUUUGUAUUUUUUUUUUCAUGAAUGAAACCACUCAAUGGGUUGCUCCGUAAUUAGCCUUCUCACUUGAUAUGGUGAAAAAAAU
rnacentral:lncRNA from 1 species